UACGUAGGUGGCGAGCGUUGUCCGGAUUUACUGGGCGUAAAGAGCGCGCAGGCGGCUGGUCAAGUCCGAUGUGAAAGCUCCCGGCUUAACUGGGAAAUUGCAUCGGAAACUGAUCGGCUGGAAGGUGGGAGAGGGUAGCGGAAUUCCCGGUGUAGCGGUGAAAUGCGCAGAUAUCGGGAGGAACACCGGUGGCGAAGGCGGUUCUCUGGGCCUUACCUGACGCUGAGGAGCGAAAGCGUGGGGAGCGAACAGG
rnacentral:rRNA from 1 species